GGAGGUGGGGUCGCAGCGCGCUCCUUCCUGGAAGGGAAGAGGCCAGAGGACGAAGCGGGUCACACCUCCAGAGCUGUCGGGGAAGAACCAUGGAGGUGACCUUGUGCCCUGCUCCAUAUAUAAGACAGCGGCAAGGCGCAGGACAGCAAACACUCCUGACUAUCGAGCUGCCUCUGUCGUUCCACAGUCAUCAUGAACACCAAGAGGGUCCUGGACUGGUGCGUGCUGGUGGUGGCAGUGAUAGCCACGGCUGCUGCUAAUGCCAACCCUGGUCGUGGAGGCUACAACAGGAGGGGCUAGUGAGGACAUACCCCUACCCUCGCUGCGAUGAACCGGUCUCUCACUGUCACGUAAUGUCUUACCCUGACACCACGUUCUACCACUUUCUCAAAGAGGCUCUCUUUUUUAAUGUUACUAAUGUAAACAGUUUUCUCCUCGUUCUAAUGUUAUCGCAUAACUAUUUUUAUAAUGUCAGUAUUAAAUAUUUGUAUCAUUUAUUCUCACAAUAAAGAAAAUGUUAUCAAAUAA